CUUCAACACCGGAAGUAAACAUUGAACAUUCUGUAGACUACCUAAACUAUGUACUAACAGGUAUUUCCAAUACCGGUGCUCCUGAGUCACCCAGGAGACGAAGAUUAACUCAUCAUUUCUACUAACCUUUGGAGUAUACCCUACUUUUCACCAUUUCUGUUUCGAGCACAGGUGAGUUUGUCACGUGUCAAAGCUAAACGUUUUAUCAUGUUUACAUUUACCAUGAUGUUUACAUCUAUUCUGAUAUCGACUUGCACUAUUGCUAAGUUAUCACCAUGCUUCAACGCUUGUCAAACAUAUCAGAUGAAUACAUACGAUCAUAAUUUGUCAUUAGUACCAUCAGAACAUUUUCCAAUUGUGUAUGUGAUGGCUAGUCAUGGCUGUAGCUACAAAAAUGUACUCAAUCUCAAGGGUAUACAAACCAUAAAAUUUCUUCAACAAAGAACACCAAGAUCAGUUCAUAAAUAUUUGUUCCUUAUAUUACUCGCAAAUGCAUUCGACACUGAAACAAACCCAGGCCCUCGUUCACCUAGGUGGCCUUGCGGAAGUUGUAGUAAGGCAGUGACAUGGAAACAUCAUGCUGUCUGCUGCGACUCCUGUGAAACUUGGUAUCACACAGAUUGCCAAGGAAUACCAAACCAUAUAUACAACAUAAUGAAUAAUAGUAAUAUAAGUUGGCACUGUAUACAAUGUGGUAUGCCAAAUUUUAGCUCAAGCUUCUUUAAUUUUACAUCCAUAGAAACGUCAAAUAUAUAUGACACCUUAAAUUCACCAAGUAGUCUUAGAGAUGUAGGAAGUCCGGGAGCACCAACAGCUGCAUCAUCCCCGAUUCCACACAAACUUCCUCGUAAUCAAAAAGCUUAUACAACAACAAAAAAGGGCAAAAUGCCAUUAAAAAUUCUGAACAUGAAUUUUCAAUCAAUUAAAAACAAAAAACAGGACCUACUAGAAAUCAUUGAUACUGUCAAACCAGAUAUCAUACUAGGUACCGAAACAUGGUUAGAACCAAACACCUCUUCUUAUGAGUACUUUCCAUCAGAUUUAUAUAAUGUGUAUCGCAAUGACAGGGCACCUAGUACCAACAACCAAAGCUAUGGGGGUGUACUUAUAGCAAUUACAAAAGAAUUCAUAAGUUCAGAGGUAAAAGAACUAGAAACUGAAUGUGAAGUAGUCUGGGCAGAAAUCAAUAUUGCUGGCUCAAAAAACAUCUUAAUAUCAUCCUAUUACAGACCACCAUCUGAUACAGGUUUGUCACUAGAGCAACUCCAUCAAUCUCUAAAUCGUAUCAAUAGUCAAUCAAAUGCAACUAUUAUUGUGGGGGGUGAUUUUAACUUGGGACAUAUUGAUUGGUCAACAUCAAGCACAAUACCAGGCAAACCUGACAUACAACUUCACCAAAAUCUCUUAGAUAUAAUGAAUGACACAAACCUACAUCAAGUUGUCAAUACACCAACAAGAAAUGAUCGCAUACUAGAUCUAAUAAUGAUUAAUAACCCAACAUACAUCAACAAAGUAACCACACUACCACCAAUAGGUUCAAGCGACCAUGAUAUUGUCUAUGCCGAAGCAGACAUCUGGCUUAAGAGAAUAAGAGAAACCCCACAAAAAGUAUACAAGUAUAACAAAGCCAACUGGGACGAAAUUAAACUUGACAUAAGUACCAUCUACAAAUCAAUCAUUGACAACUAUGAUUCUCUUAACACCAAUGAGCUAUGGGAACUAUUUAAAACCAAACUCAUCAGCUCUGUCGAAAAACACAUUCCAUCAAAAAUCCUACGAAACAAACAUCGAUUACCGUGGAUAUCUGAUAAAUUAAGACGACAAAUUAACAAGAAAAACAAACUUUACAAAAAGCGAAAAAACAGCGAAUACACGGAGAAAUAUAAAAAGAUGAAAGCUCAGGUACAAAAAGAUCAAAGGAAAGCCUACUGGGAAUAUAUUGAAAAACUUAUAUGUGAUCUUCCAAUUAAUGAACCAGACAUUCAAAUACAAAAUCAGAGCAAACCUAAGAAACUCUUUCAAUACAUCAAGUCAAUAAGAACUGACAAAUCUGGUAUCUCUGCACUAAAGAAAGACGGCAACAUCAUUACAGACGCCACAGAGAAAGCAAAUCUCUUAAACGAACAAUUUCAAUCUGUAUUUACCCCAGUUACAGAUGACCCAAUACCAAACAAAGGCAUCAGUUCACAUCCUAAUAUCAGCGAAUUACAUAUAACACCAAAUGGGAUCGAAAAACUCUUAAAUAAGAUCAACCCACAUAAAGCCACCGGCCCAGAUAACAUCAGUGGCCGCUUACUGAAAGAAAUGAAGACAGAAAUUGCACCAAUACUAUGCUUAAUCUUUAACAAAUCAUACAACACUGGUAUUACACCUAACGACUGGAAACACGCUAGAGUCGCACCAGCAUAUAAAAAAGGGGAUAAGCAUAAACCGGUCAAUUAUAGACCUAUUUCAUUAACUUGUAUUUGCUGCAAGUUAAUGGAACACAUAGUAACAUCACACAUUAUGAAACAUCUCGAAUCAAAUAACAUCUUGUACGACCUUCAACAUGGCUUUCGGCACUCUCGUUCUUGUGAGACACAACUUCUCUCCUUCAUUCAAGAACUUCAAUCCACAAACAAUUCAAAUACACAAACAGACCUUGUAAUAAUGGACUUUGCGAAAGCCUUUGAUAAAGUUCCGCAUCGUCACUUACUAUACAAAUUACACUAUUUUGGCAUUAAUGGAAACACUUUAAAUUGGAUCUCUGCAUUUCUCUCUGAUCGAACCCAGACAGUUGUUCUGGAUGGAAGAUCAUCAAGCACAGUCCCAGUCACCUCUGGGGUUCCUCAAGGUACUGUCUUAGGUCCUGUCUUAUUCUUGGCGUAUAUCAACGACCUUCCAGACUACCUUACACAUAGCAAACUAAGACUAUUUGCUGAUGACAGUAUCUUAUACAUGCCAGUUAAAUCCCAGAGUGACUGCCUAAAACUGCAAGCUGACCUUGACGCAGCUGCAAAAUGGGAAGAGGACUGGCUGAUGGCCUUCCACCCAGACAAGUGUAAUGUUCUCUCUGUAACAACUAAACGUCAACCUUUAAAACAUAAUUACACUCUCCACAAUCAUAUACUAGAAUCUGUUACAUCUGCUAAGUACUUAGGCAUCACAUUACAAUCAAACCUUAAAUGGGACAAACACAUAGAUGACAAUAUAUCAAAGGCCAACAAAACUCUCGGCUUCCUUCGAAGAAAUCUGAAAACAUCAAACCAAAACAUCAAGAGCCAGGCAUACCAAGCACUUGUCCGUCCCAAACUCGAAUACUCUUGCUCAGUUUGGGACCCCCACACUUCAGAAUCUAUUUCAAAGAUAGAGAUGGUCCAAAGGCGAGCUGCUCGGUAUGCCUGCAACAGGUAUCAUAAUACUAGUAGUGUAUCAAACAUGCUGAACACACUAAACUGGCCUAUUUUGACACAACGCAGACUGCGUGCACGACUGGUUAUGAUGUACAAGAUCACACAUCAACUUGUUGCUAUACCAUCUAGCACAAUUCUCAUUCCAUCAGACUCAAGAACCAGAAAACAUCAUUCUCACACCUUCAGACAUAUUUAUACAUCAAAAGACUCGUACAGAUUUUCAUUCUUCCCAUACACAAUAACUCAAUGGAAUCUUUUACCAACCACAGUAGUAAAUACACAGACAGUCGACUCUUUCAGAGAUCAGCUAACAUAUGCUGUUCUCUCCACUAUUAUUUAAAAAACUUCAUCUCAUGUACAUAGUUUUAAUCACUACAUCUGUUCUUUGCACUGUUUGUAAAUAUAACUUAAUUUUAAUAAAUAGGCCACGUAUGCACCAGUUAUUAAUCAUCUUUAUUCAGAUGGAAAACUGGAAAACUUAAAGAAGAAGAAGAA
rnacentral:lncRNA from 1 species